UCUUAUAUAUUCCUCGAAAAGAAACGAGCGCCCUUGAGCAGUUGUGCCCCCAAAUUCCCCAAACCGGCUCUCCACCUUCCUUGCCGAAAUUGUUGGUCGCCGGCCUCGAAGAUCCGAGCGGCUCCCGGCCUCCUUCCCUCACCCCAAGUAUCUCCUAUCCCCCAUGCCCGAAGCACGAAGCAGUCCGUGGCCUACUAGGGUGUCGCCCCUGCUGCAGGCUGUGGUGUUGUGCCGCCGCUAGCAGCAGCUGGCCGUGCCGUCUCCAAGGCACAGUCGGCCGCGCCGCCCCCAGCAGCCGUCGGACGCGCCGCCCCAGCCUUCGCAGUGUUAUUAAGGACUCCAUGAGAAUGGGAGUAGUUAAGGACAUCUUCAACAAGCCAUUACUAAGGCUGUUACUUAGACAGCAGAGAAUAACAAAACUCAAAGGUAGUAACAACCUCUCCAACAAGUGGUUUCUUCACAUUGUUACUAAGACUCAAAAGAUAUCAAUUGUUUAUUAUGGUUGGUCCCACUAAAACAUGAUGCUAAGUGACAACUCAUUCUCCAAUAGUGAUUUAGUGGUUACUUAGACAUUGGUUUCCGUGUGGUACCAGUUUCUCUAGAGAGAAACCAUCUCCUUCUCUUUGCUCUUCUUUUUUCAUCCACAUCAUCAAAAAGCUACCAUGUCAUGUUUUAGUAACGACUGACUCACCUUGUUGGAGAUGCCCUAAGUACCUUGCUUGUUGUCAGUUUGUUACCCUUUAGGCCUUUACCAACAGCCCUGUAAUCUCUUUCUUGUUCUUUGUUCGGUCCACUUUCCACCUGUAUGCAUGUGCCCACGUAUUGCCCUCUUUGUGACUGAUUAUCUUGUGGUGGUUGAUUACAGCUGGGAGAUGUGCUAUUCACGGUUCAGGUUUGCAGUGAAGGGAUUUAUAACUUUAUAUGAAUAGCUAUGAAGUAUUUUUUACUCCUUGCCUUUGAGCUUCUCAUGGAGUAACAAUAUUCCUGAGUUGCUACACUGUCAGAACCUGGCUUGGCCCAUUGCAGGUUCUCUCACCUAACUAAUGUUUAUGCCAUUAACUUGCAAUUCUUUUGGGUAAUCAAAUGCAGUGAGUUGUCUGUUUGUAUAACUAGCAACUGAUCUUUAAUCAAUGAUCUGAUCAUGCCAAUUUGCUGGGACUCCCUCCCAGCUACAUACAGGGUAGUGGGUUAACUCCUUACAAUCCGGCAAUCAUUUUCUUUUAUUCGUUCAUGUUUGCUCGAUGUGUAGAAGCAGCAGAUUGCUGGAAGUGAUUUAAUCUUCCCAAACAUAAUUAGAUUGUUAGAUCAUGCAUCUUCUCUGUUAGUUAUGCUUGAUUAAUGAUUAAUUACCUGAUCAUGCAUCUCCCCAAAACUAAUUAGUUAUUAUUUUCUGGGCACAAGAGUAUGCUGAAGUUGUUCGAAGUGUGCCAAAAAGAUCAUUGUAUGAUUUAGAAUUAUUCUCUUAAAAAUCAGAAAUCAUGUGGGCAAUAACAAAAGUAUAGCAGGCCUUUGUUUGCUAUGCUGGCCUGUUUAAUUUGAGUUUCAUCCACUUUGUGUUCGGUAUAUUGGAUACUAACUUUGCUGGUAAAUUUAGGCCUGAUUAGAUUAUAAAUUGAGCUGAUUGCAGCUUGCUAUUUGUGAAGAUCAGCCAUAAAUGUACAUGACCAUCAUCAUUCAGAGAACUAUAGCUUUUUAAUGUAGUAGUUACAUUAAAAAGUUCGAAAUACAUUGCCUCCAGGUACUAGCACUACAAGCAGGCUUCCAACCUCACUGUCUGUUCUGCAGUUUUUUUUUUAAUGGCAGAUUAGCCGGUUAAUGGGUUUGAUUGUUCAUAGCUUAUCCUUAUGAUCUGCUUUCAUCCAUAACAUUAUUUAUAGUUAUAUAUACAUGUACAAGGCGCAGGAUGGUAGAGUGGAGCCAUCUCCUGCUGGUCGAUCUUCAGACUUUGAGACUGAACCAGCUGAGCAAGGGGUAUGUGUCUCAAAUAUUACUGUUUCCUUUAUAAUAUUUCUGGUUCAGCUAUAGUUAAAUCCAACAUUAUCUGGUACAUCCAUAAAUCCCACUAAUUCAGAUUAUUCAACGUAUAUCACUAUUAAAACUGUGCACUGGAGCUGCAUCUUAGAAUACUGUAUCAAAUACUUUACUUACCAAACUUAAGCUUUAAACUGUACAAAUAUCAAAUCAGGGGGUCCUUUCUAACUUAGGAAAAUUAAGUGUAGUAACAAGAUUGAUAGAUUUUUUCAAUUAUCUGGACAUAUACUAAUGAUGGCAUCCUUUACCUUUUCCUGAAUGCUUCAGAAUGCUAUAUCAAAUAAUAUUUCAAGUAGGUAGGAUUUCCGUUGCUGCAGAUGUGCCUGAGUUGGAGGCGUAAUUUGUAAGGGUUGUGGUGUGCCUGCUUUGUGUUAAGCAAUAUGGUUAUUAUCUAGGAUGGUAUGCAACCUUCGAUGAUCCCAAAGAUGAUUUGUCAUCUGAAAUAAGUUACUUUUUCUUCUGUAAUCACCAUUGGGUGAGCAUUGUUGCGGCGACAGGGCUGGUGUAUGUUCUUGUCGAUAAUAGUAUCGGAUGUAAUUGUAUGCAUGUGUAAAAAAAUGGAUAUUGAUAGUACCAAUAUAUUAACUGUACAUCCACACCAGUUCUGUCUCAAUAGCCCAAAGGGUACUGCUCUA